GAAAAAUCUGGGAUGGAGCUUUGGGAAUUCCCAUCCUGAGCCCUGCUGGGGGUGGGGAGGGGCUGGGGCUGGGAUCCCCCCAGUCCUGAGCCCAAAAUUCCUUGGAUUUGGGAAUUCUCCCUAAAAUCCCACACCUGGAUUUGGGAAUUCUCCCCCAUUCCUGAUCCCAAAAUUCCUUGGAUUUGGGAAUUCUCCCCAUUCCCAAUCUGGGAUUAGGAUUUAAUUCCAGAGGGGAAUCCCAGAUCCCAAACUCCCCCAGAAUUUGGGAAUUCUCCCCACUUCUGAUCCCAAUAUUUCUUGGAUUUGGGAAUUCUCCCCCAUUUCUGAUCCCAAAAUUUCUUGGAUUUGGGAAUUCCCCCCAUUCCCAAUCUGGGACUGGGAUUUAAUUCCAGGGGGGAAUCCCAGAUCUCAAACCUCCCCCUGGAAAUUCCCAAGGAAUUUUCCCCCCAUUCCUGAUCCCAAAAUCCCCCUGGAUUUGGGAAUUCUCCCCAUUCUCACACCUGGAUUUGGGAUUUGUUCCCAAUCCCAAAAUCCCACACCUGGAUUUGGGAAUUCUCCCCAUUCUCACACCUGGAUUUGGGAUUUGUUCCCAAUCCCAAAAUCCCACACCUGGAUUUGGGAAUUCUCCCCCCAUUCCGGAUCCCAAAAUCUUUGGAUUUGGGAAUUUUCCCCAUUUCUGAUCCCAAAAUUCCCUUGGAUUUGGGAAUUCUCCCCAAAUCCCCCUGGAUCUGGGAAUUUUCCCCCCUUCCCAAUCCCAGAAUUUCUUGGAUUUGGGAAUUCUCCCCCAUUCCUGAUCCCAAAAUUCCCUUGGAUUUGGGAAUUCUCCCUAAAAUCCCACACCUGGAUUUGGGAAUUCUCCCCAUUCCCAAUCCCAAAAUCUCUCUGGAUUUGGGAAUUCCUCCAAAAAUCCCACACCUGGAUCUGGGAAUUCUCCCCAUUCCCCCCCCAGAUCUGGGAUUUGUUCCCAUUCCCAAUCCCAGGGAUCCAAAGGGAUCCCAAUUCCCCAGAUCCCCCCCCUGCUCUGGGGUUCCUCUUUCCCAGGAUCUGGAAUUCCCAAAUUUCCUCCCCCAAUCCCAAAUUUCCUUUCCCAAAUCCUAAAUUUUCCCCAAUCCCACAUUUCCUCCCC
rnacentral:lncRNA from 1 species